UACGUAGGGACCAAGCGUUGUUCGGAUUUACUGGGCGUAAAGGGCGCGUAGGCGGCUUGACAAGUCACUUGUGAAAUCUCCGGGCUUAACUCGGAACGGCCAAGUGAAACUGUCAUGCUAGAGUGCAGAAGGGGCAGUCGGAAUUCUUGGUGUAGCGGUGAAAUGCGUAGAUAUCAAGAGGAACACCUGAGGUGAAGACGGGUUGCUGGGCUGACACUGACGCUGAGGCGCGAAAGCCAGGGGAGCAAACGGG
rnacentral:rRNA from 1 species